rnacentral:rRNA from 1 species
AACGGCCGCGGUAUUCUGACCGUGCAAAGGUAGCAUAAUCAUUAGUCUUUUAAUAGGGGGCUGGUAUGAAUGGUUUAACGAGGUGCUAACUGUCUCAUUUAAUAUUUUGUUGUAAUUUAAUUUUUUAGUCAAAAGGCUAAGAUGAUCUUGGAAGACGAGAAGACCCUAUAGAGCUUUAUAAUACACUGUUUAUUCUUAUUUGGAUUUAUUUUGGGGGGUAUUCUUUUUAUUAUUUUGUUGGGGUGACAAAAAUAUAAACUUAACUUUUUUAUUUUUAUUACAUUAAUGUAUGAUUUUUUAGAUCCAUUUAUAGUGAUUGUUAGAUCAAGUUACCUUAGGGAUAACAGCGUAAUCUUCUUUCAGAGUUCAAAUUUACAAGAAGGCUUGCGACCUCGAUGUUGGAUUAAGAUUAUAAUUAGGUGUAGCCGCUUAAUUUAUUGGUCUGUUCGAC